rnacentral:misc_RNA from 1 species
UUUCCGUAGGUGAACCUGCGGAAGGAUCAUUAUCGUACAAAAUGGGAGGGGCAUGCGAGGGCUGUCGAUGGCCCCAAAGGCGUGCACGCCCGAGUGUGUCCUCUUGCAUAAUAAUCCAUCUCACCCUUUGCGCAUCACCGCGUGGUAACCCUUCGGGAUCAUCUCGGAGGGGGGCUCGCGUGUUCACACAAACCCCCCUUUUAAAAGUGUAGAAUGACCAAAUUUAUGCAAUAAAUACAACUUUCAACAACGGAUCUCUUGGCUCUC